rnacentral:rRNA from 1 species
UACGUAGGGGGCGAGCGUUUGUCCGGAUUUAUUGGGCGUAAAGAGCGUGUAGGCGGCCAGGUAGGUCAGCUGUGAAAACUCGAGGCUCAACCUCGAGAUGUCGGCUGAAACCAUCUGGCUAGAGUCCGGAAGAGGAGAAUGGAAUUCCCGGUGUAGCGGUGAAAUGCGCAGAUAUCGGGAAGAACACCCGUGGCGAAGGCGGUUCUCUGGGACGGUACUGACGCUGAGACGCGAAAGCGUGGGGAGCGAACAGG